rnacentral:rRNA from 1 species
UGGGGAAUAUUGCACAAUGGGCGCAAGCCUGAUGCAGCCAUGCCGCGUGUGUGAAGAAGGCCUUCGGGUUGUAAAGCACUUUCAGCGGGGAGGAAGGCGAUAAGGUUAAUAACCUUGUCGAUUGACGUUACCCGCAGAAGAAGCACCGGCUAACUCCGUGCCAGCAGCCGCGGUAAUACGGAGGGUGCAAGCGUUAAUCGGAAUUACUGGGCGUAAAGCGCACGCAGGCGGUCUGUCAAGUCGGAUGUGAAAUCCCCUGGCUCAACCUGGGAACUGCAUUCGAAACUGGCAGGCUAGAGUCUUGUAGCGGGGGGUAGAAUUCCAGGUGUAGCGGUGAAAUGCGUAGAGAUCUGGAGGAAUACCGGUGGCGAAGGCGGCCCCCUGGACAAAGACUGACGCUCAGGUGCGAAAGCGUGGGGAGCAAACAGG